rnacentral:rRNA from 1 species
GAUGAACGCUAGCGGCAGGCUUAACACAUGCAAGUCGAGGGGCAGCGCGAUGUAGCAAUACAUUGGCGGCGACCGGCGCACGGGUGCGUAACACGUAUGGAACUUACCCUUUACUGGGAGAUAGCCCGGAGAAAUCCGGAUUAAUAUCCCAUAAUAAACGAAGUGGCAUCACUUUGUUUGAAAGCUCCGGCGGUAAAGGAUGGCCAUGCGCACGAUUAGCUAGUAGGUGAGGUAACGGCUCACCUAGGCUACGAUCGUUAGGGGGCCUGAGAGGGUUAUCCCCCACACUGGUACUGAGACACGGACCAGACUCCUACGGGAGGCAGCAGUGAGGAAUAUUGCGCAAUGGAGGCAACUCUGACGCAGCCAUGCCGCGUGCAGGAAGAAGGCGCUACGCGUUGUAAACUGCUUUUAACCGGGAAGAAACCCUCCGACGUGUCGGAGGUUGACGGUACCGAGGAAUAAGCACCGGCUAACUUCGUGCCAGCAGCCGCGGUAA